CCAAAUCCAAAUUAAUUAUUAAGCUGGAUUUAUAGUUUGACGGACUGUAGAGGAAGACGUACUGGAAAAAGAUCAACAUAGAAGUUUGUGUACUCUUGAUUAUAAAGCUUGUCACGUACGGGGAGCUAUACUAUAUCAUAUCGCUCACUAUAGUAAAUGAGUGAGCCUGCACGCACCUAACCAUUUGUUCCUAGUUAGGAAUCGCUGUAGUGAGCGAUAUGAUACUAUAGUAAUGAUGAGUGAAUCUGCACGCAUGGGACCAUUAGUUCCUAACUAAUUAGGUUCCUAGUUAGGAAUCGUUAUAGUGAGCGAUAUGAUAUAAUAUAUAUUAUUAUAGUAUAGCUCCCCAUGCGUGGCAAGUGGCAAGCUUUAUAAACAAGAGUACACAAACUUCUAUGUUGAUCUUUUUUCAGAGUGUCUAUGUCUACAGUCCGUCAAACUAUAAAUCUAGCUUAAUAAAUAAUUUGGAUUUGGGUAAAGAAUUUUAGAAUGAUACCUACUUAUGUGUUUAUUUCAUUGUAGGUUUUUUCCUGUCCAUUUUUUAACUGUGUGUACGUUUAACAGUUUAAUGGGUAAUGUGUAUGAUUGUAUGAUUAUACUUAAAAUAAAAUUGUAUAGGUAUAUGUAUUUAAAAGUAUAAAUGCACUUUUGGUUACAUUAUAGUUUUAUAUAUUUUAUUUAUAUAAGCAUAGGUAUAUAAGCAAAAGUAUUGUAUAAGUAUAGAUGUACUGUAGGGAAUACCAUAAGAACAAGAUGAUAUUGGCUGUUUUUCUAUAAAAAAAAUAUAGAAAAUCCACAAGUAUUUAUCUUAUUAUUUUGUGUGACUCCAAGCAUAGAAAAAGUCUUAUAAUGAAAGGUAAAAUACAUACCUACAUAUUAGGAAAUUAAAAAACCCCAAUCAUUUUAUUUCUUUGAUUGUAACUUUUCUAUUUUUGGGGGUUUGGAUCUAACAAAAGUGUACUAUUUAAAUUUACUAUUACUAUUUAAAAUUUGUUUUGGUAAUAAAUUAAAACACUUGUAUUUAUAUUUAAGGUGUAUUUAUUUUACAUCUUCAUAGAAUUAAAUCAUUAAUAUUAAUUAUCUACAUAUCAUUACACUUACAUCUUCUGAAUUUGAAUUCAUUUUUCCAGUUCACUACAUUUUGAUAAAUGUAAAUCCAAUAUUAUACUUCACCUAAAAUCCAAUUCACCUAAAAUAACAAAAUUAAAGAGGUAAACACACAGUAUUAAAAACAAAUUUGUUUUUAUUGUGGUAAAUGGAUAUAUUUUCAAAAGUUGAUCGAACUGUCAAGUGUCAAAUCGAAAAUCUGUGACCCGUGAUUGGUCCAAAUUCUUCCAUAACACAAGUCCUGGAGAAACUGAAAUCUCGCCUCCCGGUUGGGUAGUUGCCGUGUUGCCAACUCCAUUGGAAGCUAUUAUAAAUAUAUACUCACCCAAAAUUAAUUGUCAAUUUUGAGGUUAAUGCUAACAACUUAUAUUGUCAUUGAGAUGUAUUUAUGUAUCUAAAUAUACACAAUGUAUGUUCCCUAUGUCCAGCUGAACGAUUUACGCACUGUAUAGUACGAGCAGGGAGAUUAUUGUUUGCGCUGUGUCUAGGUACACGCUAACGUGUACGCAAGUAAAAAAGUUAGGUACACGCGAAUUAAACUUCAUCAAGCCAGUGACGUCAUUAUUUAGCGUGCGCGGUGACUUUAUAUUUUGGUACACGCUAUUUUGAUAUUUUUAGUGUUUGUUGUUUGUUUGAUAGAAAAUAUUUUUUAAGGGAAGGGGAAGGGAAGCAAAACUAUUCAGAUGUUUCAAACUUAAUUAUAAUAAAACAAUAUGCAUAUAAAAGUAUAUAUUCAGAUUAGCAAAAUAAAUAUUAGUUAACAUGA